GUGACUGUUGACUAGAGGA
rnacentral:piRNA from 1 species